rnacentral:tRNA from 1 species
GCCCGUUUGGUCUAGGGGUAUGAUACCACAUUCGGGCGUUUCCAGCCAGCCUGCCUAGCAGGUCAAGAUCUUGUGGUGGCCGCCGGUUCAAAUCCGGCAACGGGCC